ACUUAAGGGGUACAACCAGCCCCCAAAUUCGGGUUGCAUUAUAGGCACCUUUACUCUGAUCUUGCACCAUGGGUAUUGCAGAGGAAUCUGGGAGCUCAACCACUGAGAAUCUGAUUGUGACAAAGAAGAGGGAAGGAACUAGCAACAACCAGCACAUGGAUAUUGGCAUAUUGAGUUCACACCUGCAGUGUCCAAGUAACAGUCCCAACUGGGAGAUUGUUCAUCUGCAGAACUAAGAUGGGGACACACCCUGACUAGGGAGCUUGUCUGGUUGUAGAUAUGCCUGAUUUGGAUCCUCAAGUGAAGAGCUUUGUUGGCUCUAGGCCCCUGUUUUUCCACCUCCAGCCAAGGAGCUGAAUCACAGCCCAACCCACUAUACAAAGUUUUCUAACCCUAUCUGAUCAGAAGAGCUGGUGGUAACUCCUGGAAGCAGUGCAGCCCAGCAACACUUGAGCUGAGAGGAGGACAGAUGGAAUUGAUUGCCCACAGAGCAUAACUAGUACCAGGUUGACAGUAGGAUUACAGCUUCACUCCAAGAAUUUUCUUCUUACCAAGCCUGAGCAAAGAGCACCACUCCUAGACUACUUGUGCUUCUGUGUGCACGCUUCUCCAAAAAUCAAGUGACUUCACUGGUAGUUAAACUGAGAAAGACUGAGUAGAUGUGGCUGUCCCAACGCUACCUGCUUUCUUCCUCUUGCUGGCUGAGAUCCCAGGUAGAAGCUCUCAACAUGGAUAUUGAAUAGAAUAUGCCAUAAACUCUAAGCAAUCCUUCGAGGAAGACUGAAAGGGCAGAGGUAAACACCUGCUUUGUGAGGUCCACCCUGCUCUCCAUCCAGCUGUAAAGUCAGAGAAAGACUUCAACUGCAGUACUUUCUUAGUGUGAAAAAAAAAAUCUUUCUGAAAGUUUUAGUGUCUAUAAAUAAUUAUGUACUUUUCUGAAUCAAACUUUUCUGUAGUUUUUGCCACCUUGACGCAAACCUUAAAAAACCAAUCUUUUAAAACUAAAUUUAAUUGCUAGAUUCUAAUUCUGAAAAUAAGUCUCAAAAUAAACUUCAGAAGCUGUGAAAAAUGG